AUGGGUUUAUGCUCAAAAGGGUUUACUAUAGGAAACUUUUUGGUGGGGUGAUAAAGAGAAAAUAAGGUUGAAAAAAGAAAGAAAAAUUUAUAGUCCUAAUGCCUAAAUCAUUUACUUACUCGGAUUAGUCGGUAAGGACCGAGAAUGUAUUGUCUUGUCAAGUUCUAGUUUCCUAAGAACCGUACGGGCUAUUUACACAAGAAAUGAAAAGUGGGCAUUUAGUAAAGAUGCGAUUUUGAAUGCUCGAUAAAAGAUCAAAACUCACAAUUCGUCGGAAAAGGGUAAAACUGUGAAAAUGUAUAUACAAUCAAAUUUUAAAAAUAUUGUCAUGUCUUUUUAUAAAUUUUUCUUAUAUAAUUCUUUUUAUCACGGCGCUAUCGGUUUUAAACUUGUAAAAACUUGUGAUGUUAAUACUCUAUGAGCUUGAAGUUAAGCUUUCUUACAUAUGAUGUAACAAUCGAUAAGCAUGUAAGGUAGAGUUAUACAUUGAGAAAAUUUAUGGUUAUUAACACAAUAGAACACACGCCAAGUUAACAUAGUUUAUCACCAACACAUGAUAUUUACAAGUACCCACUGAAAUUUAUUGCAUCUAUGAACAAGAAAUUAAUGAUGAAGUAACCUAAUCAGCCAGUCAAUUCUUCGCUUGUUGCCGGGAAAAACAUAUUUGUACAAAGCUCUUGUUGACCACCAUCCAUCAUCCAAAAACUGUUGAGCGAGUAAUCCCAUACUUGAGGUGUAACCUCAGUGUCAAAAGCCUGUUUAACUCCAUUUUCUAAUAAAUCUAGAUCUUUCCAUAUAUCAUCCAUUGAAUAAAUCCCUUCUUGUUCUUCACUUGUAAUAAUAUUAUUUCUCAUCGCACUAUUGUUGUUUUUGCUUCCAGACAGAGGGACCGAUUCGAUCCCCCCGGUAUCAUAAAAGCUUCUUUCUUUCGUUUCGGACAUGAGCAUCAUAUCAGCCAUGGGACCGUUCGUACAACUUGAUGAGGAGGAAGAUGAGUUUGACAAGGACGAAGACGGAGAUGACAUCCUUUUGUUUUCUUGAGCUUUUUUCCUCAUAAGUGUCCUCCAAUAAUUUUUUAUCUCAUUAUCUGUACGUCCUGGCAAUUUUCUAGCAAUUCUUGACCAUCUGUAUUUUUAAUCAUGGUACAAAAAUUGUAUUGAGUAAAUUAAUCUAGAAAAUAAAGCGAAAUUAAAUACAAAUAAACAACAAUAUUUUGUUUAAUUUUCUUCAAAUAAACAACAUAUAUAAACUAACAACCGUACAAUAUCCUUAUAUCAAGAAAACUAAAUAACUUGAUUAACUUAUAAACUAACCUUACAAUAUCCUUAU
rnacentral:lncRNA from 1 species